rnacentral:rRNA from 1 species
UACGUAGGUGGCGAGCGUUGUCCGGAUUUACUGGGCGUAAAGAGAGCGUAGGCGGACUUUUAAGUGAGAUGUGAAAUACCCGGGCUCAACUUGGGUGCUGCAUUUCAAACUGGAAGUCUAGAGUGCAGGAGAGGAGAAUGGAAUUCCUAGUGUAGCGGUGAAAUGCGUAGAGAUUAGGAAGAACACCAGUGGCGAAGGCGAUUCUCUGGACUGUAACUGACGCUGAGGCUCGAAAGCGUGGGGAGCAAACAGGAUUAGAUA